rnacentral:rRNA from 1 species
CCCUUCGGGGGUGACGCUUGUGGAAGAGAGGCGGACGGGUGAGUAACACGUGGGCAACCUGCCUGUAAGACUGGGAUAACCCCGGGAAACCGGGGCUAAUACCGGAUAAUACUUUCUUUUGCAUAAAGGAAAGUUGAAAGGCGGCUUCGGCUGUCACUUACAGAUGGGCCCGCGGCGCAUUAGCUAGUUGGUGAGGUAACGGCUCACCAAGGCGACGAUGCGUAGCCGACCUGAGAGGGUGAUCGGCCACACUGGGACUGAGACACGGCCCAGACUCCUACGGGAGGCAGCAGUAGGGAAUCUUCCGCAAUGGACGAAAGUCUGACGGAGCAACGCCGCGUGAGUGAUGAAGGUUUUCGGAUCGUAAAACUCUGUUGUUAGGGAAGAACAAGUUGGUUAGUAACUGACCCAACCUUGACGGUACCUAACCAGAAAGCCACGGCUAACUACGUGCCAGCAGCCGCGGUAAUACGUAGGUGGCAAGCGUUGUCCGGAAUUAUUGGGCGUAAAGCGCUCGCAGGCGGUCCUUUAAGUCUGAUGUGAAAUCUCGCGGCUCAACCGCGAACGGUCAUUGGAAACUGGAGGACUUGAGUACAGAAGAGGAGAGUGGAAUUCCACGUGUAGCGGUGAAAUGCGUA